UACAGAGGGGGCAAGCGUUGUUCGGAAUUACUGGGCGUAAAGGGCGCGUAGGCGGCCUUCUAAGUCGAACGUGAAAUCCCCGGGCUCAACCCGGGAACUGCGUCCGAGACUGGAAGGCUCGAAUCCGGGAGAGGGAUGUGGAAUUCCAGGUGUAGCGGUGAAAUGCGUAGAUAUCUGGAGGAACAUCGGUGGCGAAGGCGGCACCCUGGACCGGUAUUGACGCUGAGGCGCGAAAGCCAGGGGAGCAAACGGG
rnacentral:rRNA from 1 species